AGAGUUUGAUCCUGGCUCAGAUUGAACGCUGGCGGCAUGCCUUACACAUGCAAGUCGAACGGCAGCACGGACUUCGGUCUGGUGGCGAGUGGCGAACGGGUGAGUAAUAUAUCGGAACAUACCCUAGAGUGGGGGAUAACGUAGCGAAAGUUACGCUAAUACCGCAUACGCACUAAGGUGGAAAGUGGGGGAUCGCAAGACCUCAUGCUCAUGGAGUGGCCGAUAUCUGAUUAGCUAGUUGGUGAGGUAAAGGCUCACCAAGGCGACGAUCAGUAGCUGGUUUGAGAGAACGACCAGCCACACUGGAACUGAGACACGGUCCAGACUCCUACGGGAGGCAGCGGUGGGGAAUUUUGGACAAUGGGCGCAAGCCUGAUCCAGCAAUGCCGCGUGAGUGAAGAAGGCCUUCGGGUUGUAAAGCUCUUUUGUCAGGGAAGAAACGGUUGUUCCUAAUACGGAUGGCUAAUGACGGUACCUGAAGAAUAAGCACCGGCUAACUACGUGCCAGCAGCCGCGGUAAUACGUAGGGUGCAAGCGUUAAUCGGAAUUACUGGGCGUAAAGCGUGCGCAGGCGGUUAUAUAAGUCAGAUGUGAAAUCCCCGGGCUCAACCUGGGAACUGCAUUUGAGACUGUAUGGCUAGAGUGUGU
rnacentral:rRNA from 1 species